GAGAGAAUGAGAGAGAGAGAGAGAGAGAGAGAGAGAGAGAGAGAGAGAGAAGCAAAGAGAAAGAGGGAGAGAAUGGAAAGAAAUGAAAUAUCCUCAAGAUGCUUUCCUUAUAUACUUCUCCCGGGUUGAUCCACGUCACUAUGGCUUCUCCUUAACUAACCAAACUGCUGACUCAAGGCAGUCUUGGUGCACGCGCGCUCACCCAAUG
rnacentral:lncRNA from 1 species